rnacentral:tRNA from 1 species
GCCGUUGUAGCUAAGUGGUUAGAGUGUCCUUGUACCAAAAGGUUAUGGGUUCAAUUCCUGGUCAAGGGCA